CUCCAUUAGAAAUUUUAAUUGAGAUUAGUUUUGGAAUAAGGAAAGGGGGAUGUGAUUAAAAAAAUUGGGUUCAAUUUUUCACAUUUGAAAUUUCAUAAAUAAAAAAGAAAAUUUCUUCAAACAUUUUUAUGCCCCACCUACGAUAGUAGAGGGGCAUUAUGUUUUCUGGUCUGUGCGUCCGUCCGUCUGUCCGUUUGUUCGUCCGUCCGUUCGUCCGUCCGUCUGUCCCGCUUCAGGUUAAAGUUUUUGGUCAAGGUAGUUUUUGAUGAAGUUUAAGUCCAAUCG
rnacentral:lncRNA from 1 species